GGGCGCGUAGCUCAGUUGGACAGAGCGUCGGACUUCUAAUCCGAUNGGCCGCGGGUUCGAAUCCCGUCGCGCCCG
rnacentral:tRNA from 1 species